AGCGUAUAUUAAAGUUGUUGCAGUUAAAAAGCUCGUAGUUGAAUUUCGGGAUUAGUACGCUGGUCGUGCCUUCGGUACGUACUGGUGUUACUGAUUCCUACCUUCUGACGAACCAUCAUGUCAUUAAUUUGGUGUGGUGGGGAAUCAGGACUGUUACUUUGAAAAAAUUAGAGUGUUUAAAGCAGGCUCGCGCUUGAAUACAUUAGCAUGGAAUAAUGAAAUAGGACGUUGAUCCUAUUUUGUUGGUUUCUAGGAUUGACGUAAUGAUUAAUAGGGAUAGUUGGGGGCAUUAGUAUUCAAUUGUCAGAGGUGAAAUUCUUGGAUUUAUUGAAGACUAACUACUGCGAAAGCAUUUGCCAAGGAUGUUUUCAUUAAUCAAGAACGAAAGUUAGGGGAUCGAAGACGAUCAGAUACCGUCGUAGUCUUAACCAUAAACUAUGCCGACUAGGGAUCGGAUGAUGUUAUUUUUAAUGACUCAUUC
rnacentral:rRNA from 1 species